GAGGAGGUAGCCAACACUGUUUUUUAUAUAUAUUUUAUUUUAUUGGGACAUAUAAAAAAAGACAACUCUGUUGCGCAGAGUAGCUGUUGACAUUAUAGUUGUGCAGGCACUUUGUUGACUCUAGAGAACCUCAGGCCAAUCGCACAUCCCUGUGACGGCGACUUUGCAUUCAGAUGUCAUCUCUAUCAACUUUUGAUGCCAGUUUCUGCGCCUACCUUGGUAGGUAAUGGGGAAUCAGGGUUCCAUUCUGUACAGGGACCCUGAAAAACGGCUACCACAUGCAAGGAAGGCAGCAGGCACGCAAAUGACCCACUCCCGACGCGGGAAGGUAGUGAC